rnacentral:lncRNA from 1 species
UUUUUAAGUAGAAACUGUUAAUAUUAUUGCCUGUAGGUUCAUGAGGGGAGAAAUCAUGAAGUUAGAGAACUUGUCAAAAGUGCUGGACUUCAGAUUUAUUCACUGAAACGGAUACGUAUUGGUGCGUUUAGGCUUCCACCAGAUCUACUGUUAAGCAAGUACAUUGAAUUAAAACCACCUCAGUUAAAGGCGUUGGGAUGGGACGAGAAGUAAUUUUGACAAGUGGAACCUAUACGCAGAUGAAAGCGUAAAGUAGAGGCGUUCAGUUAUUUCGGUUGCAAAAAUUCGACCUCUCAUCAUGUACAAAGAGGGUAACAACUAAAUUCAUGAUUUUGUUGUUUUUCAUGUAGACUGACAGAUUAAUAGUUUAAUACUAGAAAAUUACUAAAACACAAUUACGCGAUGAACUGUUCAAAACUAAAACCACUGGAAAACUAAAA